rnacentral:tRNA from 1 species
AGGGCUAUAGCUCAGUUUGGUAGAGCACCUCGUUUACACCGAGAAGGUCUA